rnacentral:rRNA from 1 species
AGCGAACGCUGGCGGCAGGCCUAACACAUGCAAGUCGAACGAACCCUUCGGGGUUAGUGGCGGACGGGUGAGUAACACGUGGGAACGUGCCUUUAGGUUCGGAAUAACUCAGGGAAACUUGUGCUAAUACCGAAUGUGCCCUUCGGGGGAAAGAUUUAUCGCCUUUAGAGCGGCCCGCGUCUGAUUAGCUAGUUGGUGAGGUAAUGGCUCACCAAGGCUACGAUCAGUAGCUGGUCUGAGAGGAUGACCAGCCACAUUGGGACUGAGACACGGCCCAAACUCCUACGGGAGGCGGCAGUGGGGAAUCUUGCGCAAUGGGCGAAAGCCUGACGCAGCCAUGCCGCGUGGAUGAUGAAGGUCUUAGGAUUGUAAAAUCCUUUCACCGGUGAAGAUAAUGACUGUAGCCGGAGAAGAAACCCCGGCUAACUUCGUGCCAGCCGCCGCAGUAAUAC